AGCGAACGCUGGCGGCAGGCCUAACACAUGCAAGUCGAGCGCCCAGCAAUGGGAGCGGCAGACGGGAGAGUAACACGUGGGAACGUGCCCUUCAGUUCGGAACAACCAAGGGAAACUUUGGCUAAUACCGGAUACGUCCGAAAGGAGAAAGAUUUAUCGCUGAAGGAGCGGCCCGCGUCUGAUUAGCUAGUUGGUGAGGUAAUGGCUCACCAAGGCGACGAUCAGUAGCUGGUCUGAGAGGAUGAUCAGCCUCACUGGGACUGAGACACGGCCCAGACUCCUACGGGAGGCAGCAGUGGGGAAUAUUGGGACAAUAGGGCGGCGAAGCCUGAUCCAGCCAUGCCGCGUGGA
rnacentral:rRNA from 1 species